UUAAAGGAAGUUAGACGGGGCCCGGCGACAAGCGGUGGAGUAUGUGGUUUAAUUCGAUGCAACGCGAAGAACCUACCUGGUCUUGACAUCCCGGAGACCCUUAGGAACUAGGGGUGGCUCCAUCUGGAAGAAUCUGGAGACAGGUGCUGCAUGGCUGUCGUCAGCUCGUGUCGUGAGAUGUUGGGUUAAGUCCCGCAACGAGCGCAACCCUUGCCUUUAGUUGCCAGCAGUUCGGCUGGGCACUCUAAAGGGACUGCCGGUGUUAAACCGGAGGAAGGUGGGGAUGACGUCAAGUCCUCAUGGCCUUUAUGACCAGGGCUACACACGUACUACAAUGGCCGAUACAAAGGGCAGCGACACUGCGAGGUGAAGCCAAUCCCGUAAAAUCGGUCUCAGUCCGGAUUGGAGUCUGCAACUCGACUCCAUGAAGUUGGAAUCGCUAGUAAUCGUGGAUCAGCAUGCCACGGUGAAUACGUUCCCGGGCCUU
rnacentral:rRNA from 1 species